AUUUUUAAGUUUCUCUAUAUAUAACAAAUACCGACGCUUUAAAAAAUAUCGUCAUAUGAACCGUUUACGGUAUCAAACCAAUUCAUUAUAUUUAAUAUUCCGACGCUUUAAAGCGUUAGAAUUUUAACACAGUUUAAAAUAACAGAAUAUAUAUAUUUUCACUGACGCAUAAUAAAAGUAUCGACAUAUAUAUAUAUAUAUGAUGACUCUUUAUUUACCUAAAUUUUUAAAUAUAUCGCGCUACUUUAGAAUACUAUAU
rnacentral:lncRNA from 1 species